AUUAGGGGGGGAAGAACACCGGGAUUGCCUCAGUAACGGCGAGUGAAGCGGCAAGAGCUCAAAUUUGAAAUCUGGCCCCCUCGGGGUCCGAGUUGUAAUUUGGAGAGGAUGCUUCGGGUGCGGUCCCCGUCUAAGUGCCCUGGAACGGGCCGUCAUAGAGGGUGAGAAUCCCGUCUGGGAUGGGCGGCCGCGCCCGUGUGAAGCUCCUUCGACGAGUCGAGUUGUUUGGGAAUGCAGCUCUAAGCGGGUGGUAAAUUUCAUCUAAAGCUAAAUACUGGCCGGAGACCGAUAGCGCACAAGUAGAGUGAUCGAAAGAUGAAAAG
rnacentral:rRNA from 1 species